rnacentral:piRNA from 6 species
UCUAGUGGUUAGGAUUCGGCGCUC